CAGUCGCCGCGGUAAAACGGAGGGGGCUAGCGUUGUUCGGAAUUACUGGGCGUAAAGCGCACGUAGGCGGCUUUGUAAGUUAGAGGUGAAAGCCUGGAGCUCAACUCCAGAAUUGCCUUUAAGACUGCAUCGCUUGAAUCGCGGAGAGGUGAGUGGAAUUCCGAGUGUAGAGGUGAAAUUCGUAGAUAUUCGGAAGAACACCAGUGGCGAAGGCGGCUCACUGGACGCGUAUUGACGCUGAGGUGCGAAAGCGUGGGGAGCAAACAGGAUUAGAUACCCCUGUAGUCCCUGUCUCUUAUAC
rnacentral:rRNA from 1 species